GACGAACGCUGGCGGCGUGCUUAACACAUGCAAGUCGAACGGAAAGGCCCUGCUUUUGUGGGGUGCUCGAGUGGCGAACGGGUGAGUAACACGUGAGUAACCUGCCCUUGACUUUGGUAUAACUUCAGGAAACUGGGGCUAAUACCGGAUAGGAGCUCCUGCUGCAUGGUGGGGGUUGGAAAGUUUCGGCGGUUGGGGAUGGACUCGCGGCUUAUCAGCUUGUUGGUGGGGUAGUGGCUUACCAAGGCUUUGACGGGUAGCCGGCCUGAGAGGGUGACCGGCAACAUUGGGACUGAGAUACGGCCCAGACUCCUACGGGAGGCAGCAGUGGGGAAUAUUGCACAAUGGGCGGAAGCCUGAUGCAGCAACGCCGCGUGCGGGAUGACGGCCUUCGGGUUGUAAACCGCUUUCGCCUGUGACGAAGCGUGAGUGACGGUAAUGGGUAAAGAAGCACCGGCUAACUACGUG
rnacentral:rRNA from 1 species